AUUAAUAAUUCUUCUUCAAUAUUUAACACUGCACCUUAUGCCUCCACAGAAGUUUAUUUUUUUGACCAACGCUCUAUGCUUUUAUUUUGAACCUGAUUUCCCUUGCCCUCUUCUUACACGUACUUCCUGUCCUGGUGCUGUUCCUCUUCCUCAUUGAUUGUCAGCUCCACCCCAACUUGCUCCACCUGUGUCUCAUCAGUUCCACCUGUCUCCUUUUGAGCUCAGUCUUUGAGCUUCUGUGUGCCGUGGUCAGUUGAUGGUGUUGUGUUUGCUUUUGUUCAACCGGUUUACUUGGAUUUCCUCAAUAACCAGCCCAAGUGGAAUAAUGUGUUUUUGGAGCUACACCACAGAAACCACGUGUUUCCUUUAUUUUGUUCCUGUGCCGUGUCACUGAUUGCUUCUUUGGAGGCAAACGUCUCGAGCUACAGAAAGAGAUUCAGGCUCAAUAGUGUGUUUCAUUACUCACACUCCAGUGUGUUACACAUCCAGUAACAGGAAACCAAAGGGAGUUUGAAAGAAACCCUUUGGCAUUGCCAUGACACACUAUUCUCCAGGUUUGAAGAACAACCUGUCACUGUCCAGAGCGCACCCUGGAGUUCAACCUCAUGUCAGUGGGAUGUAUUUGUGGAGUGACUUUUGUGCUUGUGGAACCGUUCCAACAAACGAACAAAACAAAUAGACGGAAGGCAACAUUGAUCCCCUCUGGAGUUGAGCAGGACAGAAGUGCAGUGAGGGAAAAGGGCAAAAAGACUGAGAUGGCUCCUGCCAGCAGAUGAGGUAAUUGUUAUUAAUCACUUUCCUCAGAGGGCAGCGUGUUCGAUGCACCCAACAAAAGGCAUGAGGUGGCAGGAGCGGCGGAGGUGCAGGAGGAGCUCCGGCUGAAGGUGGAGCUGCCGAUUGAUCAGGUUGAGGCUGAGGUCGUUGAAGAGGAGUGUGGAGACAGAAGUCCUGCCAACUCUUGUAAAGCCCCUCUCCAUGACUCAGACAGCCCGUGUUUGUCUGCACGUCCCAGCAAACAUAUUAAUGCCCGUCUGAAAGUGGAAGAAGCCUCAAGGCCCCCCAAUAAGCUCCAAGCCAGUGGACACUCCUGAGAAUGAAGGAUGGAGGAGAGGGGAAGGAACACGUCAUGGACAUAUGGACCAAGGUGCUGUUCACUGACUGUGACCAGGAGAGGACACAAAGGAAAGGAAUGUGGCCUCGGGCCUGCAGGACAGAUGAUGUUUCAGUGGUCUCUGGAAGUGAUGCCCCCAGAGGACAACGGAGGAGUGCAUGAGAUCGCCUUCACUCCAGAUGGUGCUUUUUACUUCCUGGUCCUGGCCCUGCUGUGCUGGGACCUUCUCUGAUUGGCUGGCCCACCUGCCCUCCUCCCACCCCUCCUCCUCUGCCUGAGCCGGCUUGGGGCUCCUUGGUGCUUUACAUCCAGUCUCCUGUGAUUUCCGUCUUCUAAGGAAAACUGCCCCAGUCUGCCCUCCUCAGGUGAACAGGGUUUCUGUCACAGCAUCAGGCAGAGUAGGUCAGAAAAUUCAGAGUGAAUAUAUGGGAUCGUUGACAAGUCUGUUCUGCACCAAUCCACUUAUCUCCCAUGUAGCAUCUGGGCAUGGAUAUGAUGGAGUGGACACAAUCCAACAUGGCACCAUGACAAAGUCAACAGUAUAGAAAGCUCCACACGAGGAUAACUGGCUCCAACACCUCUCACUCCACACUGUUGGGGUUCAGCGGUGGCUGUGAAGCUUCAGUCAACACGACAUGGCAGCACACCACCAACUGAACACAAUCCUGGGAGAAAGGUGUGUGUUUUCGCAAUUUGCUUGUGUAAAUCAUUUGUCUAAAACAUAGGACAGUGUUUCUAUUAUGUGUGUUAAGCGGUGACUAUCGCUCACCACACAGUCCCAAACAUUAGAUUGUUUCAUAUAUUUUGUUAUUUUAUUUGCACUCGUUUCAUGCGGCGCUUCUUGAAAACUCAGACAGACGUGAUAGAUGGUCUGCAGGUGUCGAUGUCUUUCACGGCCGCUGCUAGUCGUCUUGCUUCUGAGUGCAUUUCCAGACUUGACCCCAGAUGCACAUUAAAUGUUCCAGCAUGUUUCCCUCUCUGUUUAUUCACUGUGUGCGUGGGUGUGGGGUAAUCGUGUAACACCGAGGGACAAAUUCUGUCCUCAAGUUUGAUGUUGUUUUGGCGAACGUUGAGAUCGUCAGAGCUCUGUCCUGGUCCUCGGGGAGACCAUCUUCAUUUGUGUCUUUUGUUUAUCAAAAUAUGAAUAUUAAGACGGGCCAUUUCUGUGGUCCUAAUGAAGCAGCGUCGCAUACCCACACAUCUGCACGUUUCCAUGCUGCUCCGUAAUUCCUAAUUUCCUGCUAGUUGCACGUCAUGAGAACUGCGAUUUGCAUAUUUGAAAAAGGUCUUCAGUCGGUGGAGUCUCCUCCCCCAUCUCCCCUCUGUAUUCAGAUAUUUUUGUUUAUUGUUCAUUUGCAUUUUUGUGUAAACACCAUUAAUGUAAGUGCCUGUUGCUGUCAUACAAGUUUAAAUUUACAUGUGUUUGAUGCUCAGGACUCCAAGACAAGGAUGCUAAUUGUUCCCACCAAUCUGCCGGCUUGCUCUUUAACAGCCGUGCCACAGCACCGUGAGCCACUCAUCAACUAUUCACCUCAGCCUCCGACAGGUGCUGCUGCUGACUGAGGUGUUUAUACCCUCAGCGUCUCCAGCACAAAACUUUAAUAUUCAUGUCGGCCGAUAAAGGGAAUUACUUCUUGAUUGCUCGGAGGAACAUUGAUGCAUCUGGCAGAUAGUGAAGAGCAUUAGUUUAAGGAUUCAGAUCAGGAUUUUUAUUUAUUUCUUUAUUUCUUCAGUCGUGUUGAACUUUCUCUGGGAGCAAAGUCUAUUAACAGCAGUCAUUUCUUAUCUCACUCGGCACACAUUUGUUCCUGUGCAUGCUAAAAUACAGCUCACCGUGUUGCACGACCUGGUGGGGAUAUUAGUAAAUAAAAAGCCAGUGCCCACAAAAACAAAAACACAUAGGCGGCUCAUGGAGAAGUAGUGAUUCCAUUGGGUCGUGCCUAAUUGGCAGGAUUGGUGCAUUAAUUCAUUAUGACAAGACCUGGACUAUGUGGUGUCCACUCUUAGGAAUCCAUCCAUCCAUCCAUUUUCAUCCAUCCAUUUUCAUCCGCUUAUCCGUUACCGGGUCGCAGCAGUCGCCACCCAAAUGAUACUGCACCGUACCAACCCCCCUAAACCUUUCUGUGGGUGGUGAGUCCACUGGAAGGUACCAACCGCCCUAACCGGGAUUCGAACACCAAUGACAGAGACAUUGCCUCUGGGCCAAAGCAACACCUCUUAGGAAUAGAAUUCUAUUUUGAAUAGACUUAAUUUGAAUGUUUUUUUUGUUUUGUUUUGUUUUUUGUUUUUUGUUUUUUGUUGUCUUUUUUUAUACAAAGCAGGUUUUAAUCUGUGGAAAUUGAUUUAUAAAUAAUCCUCACCUACUUUUUACUUACCUGAUUAGAUUAAGAGGGGGCUCAAACCCAUGUGAGCUGGGGGCCUCUAGUGCCAUCAUCAUCUUUUGGAGAAACACAUCAGAGACUGAAAAAAAAGCAAUUUAUCAUUUUCCUUUAGGCCAGAAAAAAGCCUCAUUUUUGUAAAAGUUUCAAACAUUUAAUCUCUAACAACUGUGCUAACAUUUUUUUAACUUCCAGGUAACUUUCAAAUAAAACACUUGUGUGUCCAGCAAUUGUCAGUAAACAUCAACAUCACUGAUCCUCAACUGGCGGCCCGUGGGCCAAAUCUUGCCCUCCAAAUCAUUGAAAAUGGCCCAGGAUUGUAUUCCAAACUUGUGCAGAUCAAAGAGAAAAUAUGGUGCGGUCCCCGCUAUUAAAGCAACUAAAAUAAAACAACAACUGAUACUUCUUACGUAUCAGUAAUCCCCACCAUUUAUGACUGGAUUCCAUUUGCAUUACAUUAGACAAAAAUUUGAUUUUUAUUUUUUUCAUUUGAUUGUCCGGAAAAAUUCUGACAGAUAUAGUUGGUGAACCUUGAACUACAUUAACCACAAUAAAAUCUUUACAUUAUACAGACAUCUAGCAUGGACAAGAUGUGGGAGGUUCAUGGGCUUCAAGUAGUCCGUGGGCCAAGAGUUUGAUAUCCCUGGGUUAAGUAAACAUAAAGAUGACACUCAUUAACACUCAUGAAGGGAAUAUAGCAAAAACUGAUGAGAAAAGUAUUUGAUAUUUCAAUAGUAUAUAUGUCACUUUAGUCCACUAUUGAUGCAACAAACAAUUUUCCACCCUUUAUGUCAAAGAUGAAGGUUUGACAUGAUCCAGUUUGAUGAAAACAAGCUGUGUUGUCUGCCUGUGACCCGAACCUGCCGGGCCUCUUCCACUGACACUGGCAUCUCUGGGUAAAGAAUGACCCUCAUUUCUGUGGACACGGCACUGUGUCCGCUCCCCCGGAUCUGGGCGCCCAUUCCAUUUCAUGGUGCAUCGCCCUUGCGCGUGAUUAUGCUGUGCUUUCAGGUGCAGAGGAGGAAAUGUUUCGUGAAACUGAUGUCCCUGUCAGCGCCGUGCGACUCUCCCUUCUUUCCCGGCGAGCAUGUCAACCCGCUGAUUGGUGAAUUACCAUUCCAAUGUGAAAAGUGGCUCCGCCCUUGUCCCCAGCUCACUGGCCCUGACAGCAAAUGAGGAGCUGCAUAUGUUAGAGAGGCGAUUCCUCUCCUGGCCUCAUUUGCAUUGGCUGAAUGGAAAUCAAAUGGUUUAAUGUUGAGAUGAAGCUGGUAAAUAGUGCUGAUGUUAACACAUUAAACACACACACACACGUGUGAAUGCACGCUGCACUUCUGCAUGAGUACCACAGGCAUCAAACCAAGAGGAUAUAAUGUUUGCUAGCAAGUAAAUGAGGGAUGACAGGCUCAAGGAUUUGCCUAGUCUCCCCUUUAAAGCCAAAAGUGAUGACAUCAUUUUAGUUCUGAGAAUGUGCUGCAUGCAUAGAGUGGAGCUGAAUCCCAGCCAAAUAAAAUAUGCAUAGCAAGGAGAAGCGGAUGAUUUGGUUUUGGAUAUGUGCAGUAAUUAAUUAGUCAUUAGUUAAUUCUUUGGCCAGCUGAGACAACAAAAUAAAAUGCAGUCAGCAGUUCUGUUAACUUAAUACUCCAAACUCCUGUGUACAGGAUUCUUCAGUUGCUGUUUACUAUUGUAAAUAUUGCCAAAAAUAAAAAGCAACAAUGUGCUUAUUUAAAUAAAAUCUACAUGCACAGUAUUAUUUUCCUGCUUGUGCAAAAUCUAUUGGGGGAUAUGCAGUGGGAAUCAUCAGAAUUUGUUUUUUAUAUAUUGUUAUAACUUGAACCAUAUAACUUGUUGAACCAUGUUGGUUCAACAUGUUGCAACAAAUGUAUAGGUAAAUGUGAGGACAAGUCAUGUUAAUAGACAUUGUAUAAUAUUUGCAUCUGCUCUUAGGCAAGGCUUAAUGGCUAAAUAUUUGGCAACUCAAUAGGACAUACUUGUCUGCGAGUGCACUCAUAUGAAUGUGUGUCUCUCUCUUAUUGUCUGACAGAAUGGCAUGCAGCCCUGGGUUUCUCCUUUGGGCGUGGGCUGGUCUAUUCUAGACUGGAGACACUGACUCAGUAGUCGACUGGAAUCCUUCAGGGCACCAGGGACAUCUGAUUCCACCACUGUCUAAGCCUUGAACUAAAUGCCUCUGCAUUAUUCAUGUGUAUAUCACUUUAUUGCUGUGCAAGGUUUUCACUUAAAGUUUAUGCUGUACCAUUUACUGAAUGCUCCUCCCCAUCCUCCGUAGGUGUCACAUAACAAACUUUUACUAAUCAUACUUUAUCACUUGGCCACUAUUAACGAUUGCAUGGAUGGUGUGGUGCAUGAGGUUUUGGAUGAUUACGUAGAUAAGGUCUUGUCUUCAGAGGAAGAAAGUGAAAUAAAGAGUUUCUUCUUGAACUCACCAAGCAGUUGAGAUUUGUAGAUUAUUCUUCUUCUUAUUGCAGCAUGUGUUUAACAGGCAACAAGACAGGAGAACCUUACAAUUUGUAAUUUUAGUGAUUAACUUUCUUUAAUAUCAAUAAAUGAAUAAUUAUUUUGUAAUAAUUAUAAUUUAUUUUUUCCCUCAAAAUGAACAUGUUGAGCACAAAGCUCAAAGUACAGAAAUUAAGUUGUGUUUUGUUUUAUUUUGUUUUGUAUUUAUUUAUUUUACAAAAGAUAAAACUGUUGGUAAAGCUUGAAUUGCGUGAUAAACGGCGAGAUGACGAUAGCGCGUCUUACGACAGCUUCCUAGGUUACGCAAACUACGUAGUUGGGGUCAGCUACACUACAAAGUUAUCAUCGGAGCUUUCUGUUGGAUUAUUAAAUUAGCGAUUACCUGCACAGCAUUAAGAGACGGCGUGAGUAACCAUUUUAAUCUAACUGUAGAUUUUAUCUGUUUCCACUGAGACUGUUGAAUGUUUAGUUUAGGUGUAAAAUUUCAUUUUUUUUCUGCGUAAGUUGAACAUGGCAACAUUUAAGGUAACUACUCGUCCCUCGUUAGCUGUUUUGAUGGUAGCUCAUAGCUAAUAUAUGACGCUAUAUUCAUUGGCUGUUUCCGUAUUGAAGUCACUGUUUGGGUUCGUUGGAAUCUUUUUAUUGUGUAUUGUAGUUGUACGAAGUAAACUAGAUGGGGCUGAGAAGACUUUUAAUGUGUGUGUGAGUUAAUUUUGCUGUAUUUAUUCCUCUUCAGAAGAAGAUUACUGGAAAAAAAAUCUCAUGAAGAUGGCUUUUAAAAGGCAGACCCAGUUAUAAUGUUCUACAUUUCUAGUGGUUUGUAUUGAAACUGAAUCAAUUUCUCAGUGUUAUAUUUCUUCAUAGUGUUGUAUUAAAAGUCCACAUGUGUACUAAACACUAUGCAAGUAUCUUCAUGUGAAUUACUUGCUUUAGUGACCAACAGAAAUGGCCGAAAAAUAAUCUUUUACAGUUGUUUUGGUGAACUAAUCAAGAUCUACACUACAAAUUUGGCCAUGAUAUUGUGUAAAGUUUAAAGAGUAGAUCUUUGUAAAACAAAAUGUGCACUACUGGGAGAGAAGGCCUAUCCACACACCUGUAAACAUCAGUGAGCUCUGAAGAGGUGGAUGGGUUUGUAUCUUCACAAGGACCUGAGCAGGGGACACUCACACCACUGCUAUUGUCAAGAAAGUACAGCAUUGCCUAUAUGGCCUCAGGCUGAGUGUCCAUAGUCGCCUGAGGCCGUACACAUGUUCUCAGGGACUUCCACCGGGCUACCGUUAGAGACUAUCUUGACAGUCUACUUCACCACCUACUAUUGGGUACUAGCAUGGAGUGCAGCUUGUAGCACGCUAUUUUGAAAUAGAAUGAUAUAGUAAGUUAUCAUUAGAUCCCACAGAUCAUUGGUUUUCAGUGAAAUGAGGAUCACGUGAAGGAUUACAGCUAAUUCUCAUCCUGUUGGAGCCUUAUAUGUAAGUUAAUUCCUUAGAUCGGCUGAUCUGCUUAAUCAGCUCUUUUCUUUCCCUUGAUGCAAACCAAUUGCUGGAGAAAUGUUUUUGUCCUAGCAACGGAUAAACAUAAACACAAGCAGAGUAAGAUGGGAGCUCAAUGGAAUGCCAGGCUGUUUAUGUGGAGUAUUUCUGAAGAUAAUGUGGCAUGACUUGUAGUUUUGAUCUUGAUGGCUAUAACAAAAGACAAAGAAAGAUACUAAAAGGAAAACUUUGUGUUAAUUAUGCUGGCAGAAAGAACAGCAUGAUGGGGAACAGAGACAACAGU